ACUCCUACGGGAGGCAGCAGUAGGGAAUCUUCCACAAUGGGCGCAAGCCUGAUGGAGCAACACCGCGUGAGUGAAGAAGGGUUUCGGCUCGUAAAGCUCUGUUGUUAAAGAAGAACACGUAUGAGAGUAACUGUUCAUACGUUGACGGUAUUUAACCAGAAAGUCACGGCUAACUACGUGCCAGCAGCCGCGGUAAUACGUAGGUGGCAAGCGUUAUCCGGAUUUAUUGGGCGUAAAGAGAGUGCAGGUGGUUUUCUAAGUCUGAUGUGAAAGCCUUCGGCUUAACCGGAGAAGUGCAUCGGAAACUGGAUAACUUGAGUGCAGAAGAGGGUAGUGGAACUCCAUGUGUAGCGGUGGAAUGCGUAGAUAUAUGGAAGAACACCAGUGGCGAAGGCGGCUACCUGGUCUGCAACUGACGCUGAGACUCGAAAGCAUGGGUAGCGAACAGGAUUAGAUACCCUGGUAGGAUACCG
rnacentral:rRNA from 1 species